rnacentral:rRNA from 1 species
GAUGAACGCUGGCGGCGUGCCUAAUACAUUCAAGUCGAGCGAACGGACGAGAAGCUUGCUUCUCUGAUGUUAGCGGCGGACGGGUGAGUAACACGUGGAUAACCUACCUAUAAGACUGGGAUAACUUCGGGAAACCGGAGCUAGUACCGGAUAAUAUUUUGAACCGCAUGGUUCAAAAGUGAAAGACGGUCUUGCUGUCACUUAUAGAUGGAUCCGCGCUGCAUUAGCUAGUUGGUAAGGUAACGGCUUACCAAGGCAACGAUGCAUAGCCGACCUGAGAGGGUGAUCGGCCACACUGGAACUGAGACACGGUCCAGACUCCUACGGGAGGCAGCAGUAGGGAAUCUUCCGCAAUGGGCGAAAGCCUGACGGAGCAACGCCGCGUGAGUGAUGAAGGUCUUCGGAUCGUAAAACUCUGUUAUUAGGGAAGAACAUAUGUGUAAGUAACUGUGCACAUCUUGACGGUACCUAAUCAGAAAGCCACGGCUAACUACGU